CUAGCUGUAAACGAUGGAUACUAGGCGCUGAGAGUAUCGACCCUCUCAGUGUCGUAGCUAACGCGUUAAGUAUCCCGCCUGGGGAGUACGCGCGCAAGCGUGAAACUCAAAGGAAUUGACGGGGGCCCGCACAAGCGGUGGAGUAUGUGGUUUAAUUCGAUGCAACGCGAAGAACCUUACCAGGGCUUGACAUGUCCGGAACCCUGCCCAAAGGCGGGGGUGCCUACGGGAACCGGAACACAGGUGGUGC
rnacentral:rRNA from 1 species